AAUCUCACCCAUCUCUCUCCAUCUCUCUUUUUCCCUCACUCGCCCUCCUCUCCGCUCGCCGCCGCUCGCCGUCAAUGCUAUGAGCCGCCAUGAGCUGUCCGGUGUCCGCCGUCCACUGCCUUCGCCACUGCUGUUGUUUCUCAUUCCGAUUUCCACGCCCCAGGCUGUGAAUGGGUUUCACCCGGUUCGAAUCAGUGUCAACGCAUAUCGGAACGAACCUUAUUUAGCAGGCCCAUAGAUAUGGUUACCCCACCUAUUGGCUUUAAUAUGCCUGUAGAAGUGAAAGUGAACUUGUUGGACAUAGUAGAUGGUAGUAACGAUGCUAUGUAUAGGAGACAUACCACCACAAUAUCGGUGGACGAGGGUGUAGGGCAUUUGGUUCCUCAUCGGUUCAAAGCUUGGUAUGUCUGGUUCGAUGUGGAUAACUUUGGACUCCUUUGAGGGUAUGACGGACUACCUUACGGUCUCGACGGAUCCUCAUUGGAUCCCAUGAUGUCGAAUUCGUUGGAUGACACGGUGACCGACUUUGACAUUGAGCCGUAAGGACGUUGGCCUAACUGUGGGGAUACCACCUUGUAGAGGAGUUAGGACUAACUCCUAUACCUUUUGAUGUAAUCGAAAAUGGCCCCAAUUAAAGGGGCUCGUGAAUAUAACUUUUGAGUCUAGUGAUGCAUAAUAUAAGAAGUAAGUUUGGCC